GUCUACGGCCAUGCCACCCUGAACAAGCCCAAUCCUGUCUGAUCUCAGAAGCUAAGCAGGGUCGGGCCUGGUUAGUACUUGGAUGGGAGACAACCUAAGACCACCAGGUGCUGUAGGCG
rnacentral:rRNA from 1 species